CAAGUGUGGAGUGCUGGGCUUGAUACCCAGCUUGUUGCCUGAUAUCUCUCCUUAGUUUCCAGAGCAUUGAGGAGUUUCAGGAUGCUGUUCUUGAACUUAAGCCCAGCACUGGGUGAGGAUGGAGGAGUUAAAAUGCUCUGGGUUUCUGCUCCCCCAGCUGGGGCUGAUAGCCAGCUGUGCUGCCGCUUGUCUGUGUGUAAAAUGGGAGCAACACAGAUCUCGUUUCUGAGGUGUACAUGGAGGAGUUAAAAUGCUCUGGGUUUCUGCCCCCCCAGCUGGGGCUGAUAGCCAGCUGUGCUGCCGCUUGUCUGUGUGUAAAAUGGGAGCAACACAGAUCUCGUGUCUGAGGUGUACGUGGAGAUGUGUAAGUGGAAAGUGGUGAUUGUAUCAUCUAUGGACAGCGUCCUCUUGCUUAAGGUUACUUAGUUAGCUUUCUAACCAAAAUGUUGUUACAGUCGCUUUUGUUCCAAGUCUUCCUAGUGUGCUGAUAAAAUAAAAUAAUCUGUGAAAUUCCACCUUGUAGAGCGACUUGGUCCAACAACUUGGAAAGCUUUUUGGGAAUAAAUGAAUUUACCGCAGCUUGCAGUUUCCAGAUGAAUUGCUGGUGUGCCUGAAGUAGGGAUGAACAGAGCUGGAUUUUUAAAUGGGAAAAGGAGCAAAGUGAUGUUGUUAGCCCUCACCUACGCCAAGCAGACCUGGUUCUGCAGCUGGCUCUGGCUUUUUGGCUGUUAAGCCCUGGGCCCCAGUGCAG
rnacentral:lncRNA from 12 species